UACGUAGGUCCCGAGCGUUAUCCGGAUUUAUUGGGCGUAAAGGGAACGCAGGCGGUCUUUUAAGUCUGAUGUGAAAGCCUUCGGUUUAACCGGAGUAGUGCAUUGGAAACUGGGAGACUUGAGUGCAGAAGAGGAGAGUGGAACUCCAUGUGUAGCGGUGAAAUGCGUAGAUAUAUGGAAGAACACCAGUGGCGAAAGCGGCUCUCUGGUCUGUAACUGACGCUGAGGUUCGAAAGCGUGGGUAGCAAACAGG
rnacentral:rRNA from 1 species